rnacentral:tRNA from 1 species
GGUGGCUCAAUGGUAGAGUGCGUGCCUCAUGUGCAUGAGGCCCUGGGUUUGAUUCCUCAGCACCA